AAGACAUGAUGAGGGCAUUUCCUAAUAAUUUCAUUAAAUCUCUUCCAACCUUCAUAAAUCAAUUCUCUUUCAAACUAAGUAAAAUAAGUGAUAUUAUUUCUAGAUUU